AUCUCGGUAGUUUAUUAAGAACAUAACUCUGAAGAGGUUGAGGUAAUUUAUUUUUGAGAUA
rnacentral:tRNA from 1 species